GCGCCCUCUGUCGGCCCAAAUAUGACAGCGCUGAAGAUGAGCAGCAGCGGUGUUGUUCUGAAAUGGGAUCCUGUUCCUUUAGAGAAACUCCACGGCUUCAUCCAGAACUAUACUGUACUGUACAGCAUAAAUGGCAAAAACAAAAGUAAGAUGCAAAAAGCAAUGUUGAAAUGUUGGAAAGCAAUUUUAUCAAAGGGGUGGGAAUUAAAUUAGGGCAAGUAAAUGAUGAAAGAACUAUCAUGUUUGAGUUUGACACUUCAUUUUGUGAAGGUAUGAAGGUAGACGCUCAUGUUGAACAGAUAUCUCUCAGUGGACUGACGGAAGGAAUCUAUAACAUCUGUGUAAUGGCUCAUACUGCAGUAGGGGGCGCCGCUGGGCCCUGUCAGAUGGUGCUUGUGGGGCUUGAGGAUGUACAAGUGAUUCCCAUACUGCUGUGUGCACUUCUGCUGUGUUUUCUGAUUCUAAUCAUCCCAGUAUGCAUGAGGGCGAGGAUUAAACGGUGUCUGUGUCCAACUGUACCAGACCCUUCAAAAAGCAGCCUGUCUGUCUGGUCUAACUCUAAACCGUGUCAGCAUAAGCUACCAUCCUUGUCCACCAUGAACUCUAUCAUCUCUAUGGGUCAAACUACAAUCUAUCAGGAUUAUGGUGAGAAAGACUACGUCCCCGUCCAGGUGUUCACCUACCACACUGUUCCACAAGACAGCAAUGAGACCGAAACCAAGACCUACAACGGCACUUCUCCUGUAACCCACCAGGACUCCAAACUCACACCAGCUCAAGCUUUCCCCACACAUUUCCUCAACCAGAGCUACACCGGUCCAGACCAAGUCACUCCUGCUGGAUAUAAAGACGACCCACAGCCCUCAUCUGAUGAUCUCUUGUUUGAAUCGCUCUUCACCUACAACAGUAAUCAAGCAGAUUUAUGCGGAUACAUCCAUGUGUCCGAGAGCUACGCGCCGGUCAUUACGACUGUAGACUCGUACAGGACUCUCGACCUGAAUGAGUGUCCGCAUUUCCUUCAGGUUUUACCAGAGGACACCAGCACAUAGUUCACUGCAGCGUAAACAAUGAGUCUUAUGUGACUGGGGUUUCACAAUCCCACUCUCUCCAGCCCGCCAGAACAUGAGCCCUCGUAUCAACCACCAUCUCUGUGUGCUUUCUGUUUGGCAGAUAUACACAGGCUUGUACAGUAACGGGAUAGUUGGAACGGCAUAAGGCUGGUACAUAAAGCAAUUAAAAUCAGAAACUUGUCUACUCUGUAAACUGUGUCCAGUGUAGACAGCCGCAGUUGAUCAUAAUAGUCGCACUGGAUUUACAAUAGUUUCAUGGGCCGGUUCAAGAGAUUGCAUCCGAUUGCUGUUUUGCCCGACACUUGAAAAUGAAUUGUGAACUUUUUCCAAGCAGCCUUUUUUUCUGAGCACCUCCUGUCAGAUCUCGUCUAGGUCAAGGACACCACAUGAGGACCGCUAGUCAUUUCCACAUGUGACACCUCUCUCACAAAACCUCUCUGGUCUAGAGUCAAAUGUGCAUAAACCACUGAUUCCAGUUGCCAGUUGAGUGGAAAAUAUGUGCUGGGUCGGAAAAUUUGCUUUCGUUGCAUGGAAACUUGACCUAUAUUUGCUAUUUCUGAGAUCAAACAGUGCCAUUUUUCUUGUGACAUAAUAUUGUUUUUCUCAUUUUUUAUUAGCAAAUGGUGCUUGAAAAAUACAAGUAUCCAUAUUAUGUUAUUUUCAUAUUGUGAUAUUUGGUUUAAUAUUACUUUUUUAAUACAUAAUUAGUCAUCUUAAACCCUCCCAUUUCUGUUGACACGAAGGACAAACAGAACUGGACAGGACAACACGUUCCCCUGGUUACAUCAUGGACACGGCUUGGAAUUUUAUGGACCUGUUUAACUGAAAAACUGGAUUUUUUUGUUUUUCAUUAGUAUUUCUGAUGUAGCACUGCUGUUUGCGUUAUACCUGUCGACCUGCAUAUAUCCUGCUUUCUGCUCUGUACCGGUUUCCUCUGUUGGCCUUUUUGGAUAUCAGACUAAAUAUAGUGUUAACUGGUUUUGGACAUCAGACAGAACUAAAUUCAAUCUAGUUUUGGAUAUCAGACAUAACUGAAUGAUAAUUGGUUUUGGACAUCAGACAGAACUCUGUUAACUGGUUUUAGAUAUCAGACAGAACUCAAUCCUAACUGGUUUUAAAUAUCAGACAGAACUCAAUCCUAACUGGUUUUAAAUAUCAGACAGAUCUACAUUUGACCAGUUUUGAAUAUCAGACAGAACUCUGUUAACUGGUUUUAGAUAUCAGACAGAACUUAAUCUUAACUGGUUUUGGAUAUCAGACAGAACUCAAUGAUAACUGGUUUUGGAUAUCAGACAGAACUCAAUGAUAACUGGUUUUGAAUAUCAGACAGAUCUAAAUUUGACCAGUUUUGGAUAUCAGACAGAACUCAAUCCUAACUGGUUUUGGAUAUCAGACAGAACUCAAUGAUAACUUAUGGAUAUCAGACAGAUCUAAAUUUGACCAGUUUUGGAUAUCAGACAGAACUCAAUCCUAACUGGUUUUGGAUAUCAGACAGAACUCAAUGAUAACUUAUGGAUAUCAGACAGAACUCAAUGAUAACUGGUUUUGGAUAUCAGACAGAACUCAAUGAUAACUGGUUUUGAAUAUCAGACAGAUCUAAAUUUUACCAGUUUUGGAUAUCAGACAGAACUCAAUCCUAACUGGUUUAAGGUAUCAGACAGAACUCAAUCCUAACUGGUUUUAGGUAUCAGACAGAGCAAAAUUUGACCAGUUUUGGAUAUCAGACAGAACUCAAUCCUAACUGGUUUUAGGUAUCAGACAGAGCAAAAUUUGACCAGUUUUGGAUAUCAGACAGAACUCAAUCCUAACUGGUUUUAGGUAUCAGACAGAACUAAAUUUGACCAGUUUUGGAUAUCAGACAUAACUCAAUUUUAACUGGUUUUGGAUAUCAGACAGAACUACAGAUUCCAGACAGAACUGGAACCUUUCUAGAAAUGUUAGAUCCAGUCUUUUUACAAGAUCCCAUCAGAAGACAUACAUUUUGUCUGGUGAAAUUACCACAUUUGUGUUGUCAGCCUACACAUGAAUGUAAGCUUUAGUCUGUGGAACUUUAGACUGCUAACCUGGAAAGCUGUGAAAAACAACAUAACCCACCUGAUCUGAACUAAAUAUUGUUUCAUUUCCGAAUGAAAAGAUUUGAGCAAUGCCAUUCCAAAAUAAUGUCAAAGGUUUAUUUUUGUGAAAUGUAUCUGAAGAUAAAUUCUGCGGAAAAGGAAAGGACAGUGAGAGGAACACUCGGCAUUGGGAACAUUUUGUUGGGAAUGCUGUGGCUUCAGGCCAGAGUUCACCACCGCUGGGCCAUCUUUCCUGCGACUGGAAUUCCCGAUAAAGUCCCUCAUUGUUUGGACAGAGACGGGCCAGGGCAGUGUCACACAUACAUCCGGCUCCAGAGAGUUGAUCUUUGGCGACAGGAGUGCAGAUCGGCCGUGUGCCAGAGCUGGUGCAGCAAUAUUUAUUGUGGAUGAAAUGUGCUGUUGUUGGAUAUUCACACUGACCUGCCAGAACCGUACGAACCGUUAGUACAUAACAUGCUCCUUGCAUGCACCAUUCCAUCAGGAAUUUAUCAGCCUGUGAAUAUGGUUAAAAAAAGGAAUGGGUUAAUGCUUAGCACAAUAUUUGUCAUUCCUGUAGUGAUGUUGAGAAACUCAAGGCUCUGUUCAGUAUGUAUAUAUUCUGAUAAAGCACAUGCUAUUGUUAUUUGUUUAAUAAAGUGAUCAGAAAAUCACCUUGCAUUAUUGCUAUCACAAGUCACAAAGGUUCAUAUUUGAAAGUAAACACUGCAUAUCUUGCUAAAUAUUUGAGAAAAUAUGUGCUUAUAUAUAGGCUAUACCCAUAUCGAGUGCUUUGAAUGCCAGCAUAUGUUGGACUUUGGUUAUAUUUACUGAUAUUUCUUGGGUGUGGUGAUUGAUCAUAGGGGAAUUUCCUUUGCACUUUGACUGCUCUGCAGUGGAGAUGUUCUGUGCAUGGAGAAAUGAAUGUAAAAAGUCUCUUUUGACUACAAUGGACAGUCAGGACUGCUGAGAGGAUUAUUGGUGCCCCUCUAUAACCUCCAAGAACUUUACAUCUCCAGAGUGAGGAAAAGGGCUAAGAAAAUCACUCUGGACCUCUCACACCCAGCCUACUCUCUCUUUGAACUGUUGCCCUCUGGCCGGUGCUACAGAGUGCUGUGCACCAAAACAGCCAGACACAAGAACAGAUUUCCCCCCCUAGGCCAUAUCGCACCUGAACAACACAACACACCUCAGUACUGCACAUCUGUAAAUAACUCAUUAAACCUGCAUCUGUAAAUAGCACAUAUGCACAUUCACAGUUCUGUCAAUGGACAUUUGUCCUUUUUCUGUAUAUUUUUAUUACUAUUGUUAUUUAUAAUUUAAUGUAUUUUCUGUACCGGAAGCUCCUAACACCAAGACAAAUUCCUUGUGUGUGUGAACACACUUGGCAAUAAAGCUCUUUCUGAUUCUGAUUCUGAUUUUGUUA
rnacentral:lncRNA from 1 species